rnacentral:lncRNA from 1 species
AUGUUGUGGGUGGGAUGAAGGCAUCUAUCUUAUUAUAUGGAAGAUGAUUGUUAGAUGGUUAGUGGCUAGAACAAAAUAAGGGGCGUUGUAUGGAGGUUUCCAAGUAGAGGUGCGAAGCAAUUGAGAUGCAUAUAGAAUAGAAGGUAGGGUUCCAAACCUCGCGGCAGGUUACCAGAGAAGGGGGGACAACUCCUUUCUCCUUUGCUUGCUCAAUCUUCCUUUUAUAAUUGAAAGUAGCAAGCCACUCUACUAUUGGUACAGAGGCCAGAUAAAAGGUUGCUCAUCCAGCCCAACAGAUCCAUUGUUUAUGCGGCAGUGCAAUGCAGCUGAAAAAGGGAAGCCCCUUUUUAUUAGUAAGGUAUAGGUUGGUUGGGGAAAACUCCUGUGAUAUGAGUUACUACCCCUUGAUCACUAACGGCUGACCAAGCCAAUAAUGCUUAGCUGGUCUUUUCGGAUGAUCAGCCACACUGGGACUGAGACACGGCUCGGACUCCCACAGGGGGCAGCAGUGGGGAAUCUUGGACAAUGGGCAAAAGCCUGAACCAGCAAUAUCGCGUGAGCCACUUUGUUCUCAACUCUUCUUAUCUCCUGGGCGAGACAAGUUACAUUUAGCUAAGAGCCUAUUUUCCUUCUGCCCAGCUCCCCGAAAACAACGUUCGACUUGCAUGUGUUAAGCAUAUAGCUAGCGAUCCUUCUGAGCCAGGAUCAACCUCUAUCUACCCGGUAAGAUCUAUUGAAUGAGAUCCUGGAGACAGGGAUUUGAGGUAUGAGUUGAUCAGAUGCAGGGAAGCCCAGGCAAUCCGUUCCUAUCAGUCAUUCGUCAGGAAGCAGUAGAGAAAGAAUCAGAUUCUCAAAUCUCAUUGUUGAAGGCGUAGAGAGGAAAUAAAAGAAAGAAGAGCGAAUCUCUACAUGCAAUUCGCUCACUUCGGGAAGAGCAGACAAAAAGAGAAGGCCUUCGUCCUAUCUGCUUCUUUCUCUUCCCAGGAAUGAAGAAUUUUUGAAAAAAAAAAGAUUUUCUAAAAAAAGGAUCUGAAAAUCUAAGAUCACUUCCUUUCUUUAAAUCCAACAGUGGAGAUUGAUACAAAGGUGGGGAAUGGGUCAGGCCAACUUGAAAUGGACCAAUUCGAGAAAAGGGUCAAGAUAUGGUGCGGUCAGAUUCUUUCUCUUUAAAGUUACGAUUAUUCGAAGUUCAAUUUGAUCCGGGUAAGAAGACCUAAAGGCAGCCAAAAGGUUCUUGGGCUAUGCUGAAGAGAAGAAUAUGGAGGAUUGAUCCUAUUCACUGCUAAUCAUGUAGUUUUCUUUCAAUGAUAAGCAUAUAGAAACCUAGCGCUUUUUAGCUUUCUUCAGGAAUACCCCCGUUAGCCAGCUUUUGUAGCAAAUUCUAUUUGUUCUUCACCGCUUUGGGUUGUGGGGCUUACUUCCUAGCCCCAAUGGGAGUAGUGACUAGCGUUAUAGGUUGUUGGGCGGUCGGAAGGUUGCCACGAGUAAGUAAGAAAGAGGGACCGAAGUCAGUUCUCCGUGCACCGGACACGUAGCUUACCGAAUCCGUUGCGACACAGAUGGAAAUGCAUGCUAUGAAAGAUAGGGUCGAGUCUGAUACAUCAACCGUCUACUCAAUAUCCUUGUACGAGUCCACAAUGGCUACACGAGAUGAACCUUGGUUUGGUGAAUUAAAGUUGGCCUUAGGUGUAAUAGGACUCCCAGUUACUGUGCGCGAUCGUAUACUGAGGUGCUCCCCGCCGGUUGUUGGAAUGACACGAGUCGGGCCGGGUCUCGAUUCAGAAAGAUGAAGGGCUUUAACUACUACGAUCUAUAGAUUUCCCAUCUAUAUCCAAUCCCAACGAGAAUAGAAGCGAGUCGCUUCCGACUUUCGUCGUCCAGUAGCGACGACUGUCUUUUCGAUUGGAACCGCAGUCGCCCUUUGGUUGGGCAUUGGUGCAACAUUACCUAUUGAUAAAUCCUACGAAGAUAGGCAUAAAGGCAUGAUUAGUUCCACAAAUCUCACUGCACUGACCAUAGUAAAAUCCUUCUCGUUGUACCAAAAUAGAGGUCUGAUUUAUACAACAUGGAUUCUGGCAAUGUAGUUGGACUCUCAUGACGAUCCGAAUGAAUCAUCCUUUCCACGGAGGUAAAUCUUUGCCUGCUAGGCAAGAGGAUAGCAAGUUCCAUAUUCUAUCUUGGGUAAAAUGCCCGCCCGUAACCCAGCAGAUAAAGUACAUUACAUAGUCCAGGGAUUGGCGAGACCUACCCUUGUGCGAGUGACUGAUGGGGAGAAGCGAUGGCUCAGGGAGGGAAGGCGCAGUGCAGACUUGGUUAAUCAGGUCUGGAUUUUUUGCAUCGUUUCAGUCAUCGUGGUCGACGGGGAAGAAAGAAAUGAAUGAAUGUUCUUUUGGGAAAAUGUAUAAUAAUACACCUACCGAGACGAAAGCCAAAGGUAAGUCUCAUAGGUGGACGUAUCGAACUGAAAUAAGAUCUCAGAUUGACAUCUUGAUACAAAACUAUCUUUUCUGUAUACUUUCCCUGGUUCCGUUACUACCGCGGGCUUUACGCAAUUGAUCGGAUUAGAUAGAUAUCCCUUCAACAUAGGUCAUUGAAAGGGUCUCGAAGACCCACCAAAGUACGAAAGCCAUAGACUCUUCAUUUCUUUGUCUUAUUAGCGCAGGUGUUCGUCAACGAUAAAAGUCGCUAAACUUCAAACUUGAGUGGAGAAAGAGGGCUAGGCCCCCGAAGGACUUUCAAGGACUGGGGAAGACGGGUGGAUUAUAGAGCUAGGGUAGGGGCAAAUCGAAGGCCCAUCGGGAUUGGGCAUGAACAAGCCUCGACAGUGCCAGCAUUGAUGAAAAAAGAAAAACUUCCCCCAUCGCAUCAUUAACCGGUGUAGGAUUCAAGAUCAGGUCCAGGAUUCGAGUCAAAUCGACCUUCCCUCUCAUCUCAGGGUGAGGCAAAGAAUUGUUUCAAAUAUUUGUUGUUCAAUAUCUCGGCUGCUCAAGAAGUUUGACUAGUUGCUCCUCCGACCCGGAGUGGAUUCUAGGGGAAGGGCAGAGCCUCACCUUGCAGUAGGAAGGUGAUUGUUGUUGGGACGGGUUCAAAUUGGACUGAAGGGAGAAUUAUUUGCUUGACCUCCGCCUUUUUCUACUUGCACGGAUGCCUUCCCUUCCUUAGAGGAUCUGUUUGGGAAGUAAGAAGCCCCUUUGAUAUCUCUUCAUCUGCAAAUAAUUCUCGAUGUGAAAACACAGAGCCAGGGGGCUAGUCUUUGGAUAGGGAAAAGAGUGGAUCUUUAGGGUCCCAAAUGAAUUGGCUUAUUAAAAAAAGGCCUUGUUCUUUGAAAGAUCUAUCUCGUGUCUGGUACUGCAUGGUUCCACUCUACAAGAACCCCGAAUCAUUCUCUUGAAGCUCAUCCUCUUCAUCAUAAAUGAUUCGCUUGUCCAGACGAGUCGACUGACUCUUAGUUGUUUCCGCCGCAGAUACGGAAGGCCAUUCUAACUAUAAGGUCCUCCCUUUCUCGGAUGAGGGUCCUCUCCUCUUCUUCCAAAGUGCGGAUUUGGUUUAGGAGCUGUUAAAUGCGUAGUUCCACCAGCACCGGAAAAAGAGUGGGCACGUUUUCUAAAAAGGCCUGUAGAGUUUGCCGCCGUUAGCGCUUUUGGUUUUCCACAUGGAGAAUUCUUUGAUUCAUUUGAAAAGGUCUUUAAGUGGUGGCUGGAUCCAUCUCUCCCUUUUCUUUGCCAAAUAGAGAAAAUGGCUUCUAUUUAUAGACGUUGGAAGCCCUUUCUCUUUCUUAUUAUAUUAUUUGUAACCCUAUUUUUAUUAGGUUGUCUUGGUUCCAUAACAUGGUUUAAACCUGGUUUUUCAUGAAUUUGGAACCCCACCGAGUUAUCGCUGCAAACCCCAAGAUAGUAUUAUGGCACUCUCAGUCAGUUUUCCCACGUCCAGUAGACUUUCUUUCUACAACCGUAUAUUGAACUAAUAGAAUAGUGAAAGGUUAUUAGAAUAGGCUGAGAAAAGGGCUAAGAGGGAACCAUAGGAUAUUACUUGACCUAAAGGGGCCUAGGGCACCAAGCCUACCAGUUCUUCUUUCAAGCUCAAAAUAAGAAAGAAUAUAGGAAUUGCCUACCACGCUUUGCGCCUGCUGCAUUUUCGCCAGACGGUCUUUGCCAGUAGUGCCAUCCUCAGGAUCUGGGAUUGAUUGUGGAACCGAGCAUAGAGAAUCGGGGGCGGGCAGGAAGAUAGGCUAGGCGGAGUAGUCGCUCUGGAGCAGUUUCUUCAACUGGAUCAAUGCAUGUAUGAACCCUAAAAAAAUCCCGAAGGUCUAGUCUAAAAAAAACCCGGAUUUUGUUGGGUUAGCUUUUUGGUAGGAAAGGCGGUCACAGGAAGAAAUACCCUACCAAUGAAUAGAUUAGUCUACUAACGUCAACAAUCUCUUUCUUCAUAUACGAGAUCGUCUGCUUUUAUAUCCUAAACUAUAGAUAUGAAAGAAAAAAGAAAGAUCAUCUUCUUAUCCGCCGACCUAUUCAAUUCUGGAAUCAGACCUGCUAUUAAUGUGGGUAUCUCCCUUUCCAUAGUGGGGUCCGCAGCUCAAAUAAAAUCCUCAAUGUCGUGCCAGCUGAGGGUUGUCAUAGUGGUGUGCGUAAUGUGAUCGAGAUUAGCGUAUUGUUUUUUAUACCAGUCAAGAGUAACCAAUGUUUUAGUCAACCCUUUAUGUUUAAUGAUAUCAGUGUGUCCCUCUUCAAAGAGACAAUAAUUCUUAGCAGCGAAACAGAGGAUUUGCCAACAUCGAAAGCAAUCAGACUUGGUUUGGAAAUCUUCGCGCUUGGGAAGCCGAGAAAGCGGCGUGUACGGUACGGGUUUUGGUAGUGAAACAAUUGAUCUAGUAAGCUUAGGUUAGUGGAGUGGUAAGUUUAUUUCGACAGGUUUCAAAGCUUCAGGGGGUGUUCACCUUUGGAAACUUAGCUACUUAAGUCCUUCUUAGAAAGUCAAAGUAAGGGCGAACGGCAUUCUGUUCUACAGCUACAACAUAACAUAGAGUGUAUUAAUAUGUAUUAUUGUAUUAAUAUUAAACAUCUUAAUAGUAGAACUACUUUCGUACGCUCGCGCCUGAUUAGCUAGUUCGUGAGGCAAUAGCUUACCAAGGCGAUGAUCAGUAGCUGGUCCGCGGCCGUUAGGUCACCUAUUUUGAUUUAUGGACACACAAGGCCAAAACAUGUGUGCCGGGCACGUGACGCCUGAAGAUGGCACAGAAAGACAAAAAGAGCAAAAUCGAUAUAAGAUAAGACUGGAUGGAAUCCUUCUAGUAGUAUCGGCCAUUUACCCUACUUCCCUCCAGAUUUCAUCAAGUGUUCAUGCUAUAGACAUAAACAGUUAUGGAUAAUUAAAUUAUGAGAUCCUUACGAAUGAGCCUUCCAGUAACAACGAAUUCAGUGCUUUCUCAUGUCCCUUCCAGUAGUAGUAGGUUCCAUGUGACUUUAGGAAGUAAUAGCUAACAACUUUUAGAUUGAAUUCAUGCUGAAAAAUUAUUAUUCUAGUCAAUAUAUUUUAUUGUUUAGGGGGAAUUACGCUUACUUGUUUUUUAGUACAAGUAGCUACUGGGUUUGCUAUGACUUUUUACUAUCGUCCGACCCUUACUGAGGCUUUUGCUUCUGUUCAAUACAUAAUGACUGAAGCCAACUUUGGUUGGUUAAUCCGAUCAGUUCAUCGAUGGUCGGCAAGUAUGAUGGUGGCGGGCUCUUGGGUCGUCUGGACCCAUAUCUGGAAAAAGUGGUGGCCUGGUUAUUCCCACACCCCCUUAUCAUACGUGUCUUUAGGAGCAUCACCCGCCAUUAAUUUAUCAAGACCGUAAAUACGAGCAAUGCCAUCGCCUGCUCCUCCAGUAGACAUUGAUGGUAUUCGUGAACCCAUUUCAGGGUCUCUACUUUACGGAAACAAUAUUAUUUCCGGUGCCAUUAUUCCUACUUCUGCAGCUAUAGGUUUACAUUUUUAAAGCAUUUUGAAACUCUAAUUUAUUUUAUCCUGGGAGUUUUGUUUUGAUAUAAACAUUUUCUAAAUGAUUUCGGAACAUUACUCAUAGGAAUAACCUAUUUUUAUAUAUGUUUUCUAAAAAAUAACAAAGGGAGAUCCUAUAAGAGAGCUUACAGAACAGGCACUACAUUUCAAAUAUAACUAACAAUUGGCUAAAAUAAACUCAUUCUUAUUCUUCUCUCCUGUUCCUUCAAUUUUCUCCCUGUGCUCCUCUUAUUAUUCCUCCUGUUGAGUUGUCUUCACUUCCAUUACCUCGCUGUUUUAAUGUCAUUUCUCUCGCAAGAGAGUUCUGCUCUUCCCGUAGGGCUUUGAGUCUGAGCUUUGCUUCCCUGAGUGGAGUGUCUGUUGGAAGUUUUUUCCAGAACCUAUCCUAGUUGUCAUCAAGGCAGGGCCGCUAUAAAGCCUACCGGCCGGCUAGAAAGUCCUUAAGAAUGAGAAAGCCGACUAAAAGGCUAUUCCAUAACCGACUCUUGUUGCCGAGUCGAGGGGGCGUUCAGCCACUGUAAAGAGAGGGGGCUUGGCUGGUACCAGCCUCUAAAAGAGUUUUCUUCGAGCGAGCGGUCUUUCUAUCUUUUUGGGUUGCAUGCCCAAGGCAAUGCUUUUUGUAGAUUGAGAUGGAUUGAUCUUUGCUAUCGUGCCUCCUCCUUGUACCAGUUAAUACUAGGGCAGUGCUUAAUAUGAGUUUUCUCCUGCCCCAAACAGCUUUCGAGGUUCCCAUCGAUUACAGAGGUUUCUACCACUGAACUUGCUUAUGCUCCCCUUUGAUCGAGUUCUAUUUCUAUAAAUAAGAUUGAGUAGAAAAAUGUUGAAUUGGCUUCAAUCGAGAUUGCCGCAGCUUCUUAGGCACAUGAGGAACCGGCCUAACAUCUUUUCAAUCAAAAUCCCAAACAAAGACAAGUUCUACCAAGGCCUGUACUUCUACCUAUUAUAGCACUGGCAGCCGAAGUCGAGCAUACAUAUGACGAUCUUUAUGUGUGAAUAGUCGGGAGGAAAGAAAGGGCGGUAGAUGAUAAUAAGAAAGGGCGCUGCGUCUGGACGGGCAGAAUGGAUAAGCGAAAGGUGUCAUGCCAUGGAGUGGGGAAUAGCCCUCGUCUCAUGUAAGACAACUAAAUGCACCUCGAGGCCGAGGAACUGAGGGACCUUCUCGAGCACAGGAUAGGUAAUUGAGAGAUAGAGCUAGCCUAUUCGUUAUGGGAAAUCAAUGCUCCGCAGCUUAGCUGAGUAGCAACUCUCUUUCUGCCGGCCGGCGUGGCGCUGUGCGGUAGCAUUCGUGGUGGUGCUUCAGGAUUCCAAUGUACUUCGUCCAAGAUCAGAACGAGCUUGCCGGCGGACCACUGCCGUCCCAUUCUUGAGUGAGCUGGAGUGCAGCCAUCUUAUCCCCUGAACUAGCUAGAAGCUAUCGCUUCGGGGUGAAGCACUAAAAGAAAAGGACCGGGAAACGCGGCGAAACUCAUUGCCCAUGGAUAAAGAAAAACCAUUUCAACAUCAAAAACAACAAAAACUAGAGCAAACAUAUAAUAACAGAUUUGAAAUUGUAACCAAGCAUCAGUGCAUUUUAUAACUCUAGCACUCUCGUCAUGAGACGUAGAAGCAAAAAAAAAAAAGCCUAGGCUGAUCAUCCAAACACCCAUUGAUUCAGAUCCUUAUCGGGUACGAUAACAUAACUGUUCCCUGUGAGGGGUCAGGUGUAGUUCAAAUGUCAUUUAGUAUGCUACCUGUCAUAGCUCUGACAGGGUGGCGAUGCUUCUGGUGGGUGUGGAAAUUGGAAGUCUCAUGUUGUUCAUCAGCACUAUGGCAUGAUCGGAUUGUACCAGUGACAAGUGUUUCGGUGGUUAGUUUUACAUUAGGAUCCUCUCAGCUAUCUAAGUGCCACUCGUUGGAGUGUGGUACUUGCUUGACAGCUGGGAUCUUUCCUAGGUGAUGGCUGGGACUGCGUUUUCUUUGGGGAAGCAGGUUUCCAUCUGAAUUGGAGGAGGCCUAUAUAAAGAAAUUCUUUACAGUCUACUUUGUUGUCCUUGAAUCUUCUUUCUUGAGUUUGACUGAUAAAAGACUUUACUAAGCAAGCUGUCUGUCGGUCCCCAUUGGUUAAUUGUGUCAACAGAGGCAAGGAGUACCACUGGACUAUCCCACUAGCGAUCCUACUUCAAUGCAGGUGUUCGUCAAUGAUGAAAGCCGCUGAACUUUAGACUCGAGUGGAGAAAGAGGGCUAGGCCCCCGAAGGGCUUUCAGGGACUGGGGAAGACGAGUGGCUUACCAAAGACAACAAUCCCUACAUUCUCAUUGAAAAGGUCAGUGACUUAAAGGAGUGAAGAGAGCAUUAUCCGUCGAUUCCGAAGGAACUAGAGUUACAUCUCUUUUCCAUUCAAGAGUUUUUAUGCGUUUCCACGCCCCUUUGAGACCCCAAAAAAAUGGAGAAAUUCCGGCCCUUUUACCAAGUCUACCAGAUAGAAGAUGAUAGAGGGCCAACUAUCGUUGCCUUGCACAAGACGGUGCCCUUUCACUUCGAGUUCCUUCCUUCGUAGUCAAAUCUGAUGAUACGCUUUGGCGAUAUUACCUACCAAAUAAAAGGCCUGCUAGGUGAUCAAAAUCGUAAAAUAAAAUAUAUGCAAUAGAAAAUUCGAUCAAAAUAAAAGUCUCAUUUCUCUUUCUGCUUUUUGAUUUUAUGUUUACCGCCUUGCUGGACUAAAAAAAGAAGCUUUAGAGGAAUUUUUAUGUUAUAAUUUUAGUGGUUUUUAUGAUUUUAGUGGUUUUGACGACCCUAUCUUAUCCUAUCUUAAUUACCACAAUUCCCCUAUUCGACAAAAGUUGCAUUUGUAUACAAUAAUCGGAUUGUAGCGGGUAUAGUUUAGUGGUAAAAGUGUGAUUCGUUCUAUUAUCCCUUAAAUAGUUAAAGGGUCCUUCGGUUUGAUUCAUAUUCCGAUCAAAAACUUUAUUUCUUAAAAGGAUUAAAUCCUUUUCCUCUCAAUGACAGAUUCGAGAACAAAUACACAUUCUCGUGAUUGGUAUCCAAAGGUCACUUAGACAUUGAAAAAUUGGAUUAUGAAAUUGCGAAACAUAAUUUUUGAAUUGGAUCAAUACUUCCAAUUGAAUAAGUAUCAAUAAAGGAUCCAUGGAUAAAGAUAGAAAGUUGAUUUCUAAUCGUAACUAAAUCUUCU